rnacentral:rRNA from 1 species
AGGGCGAUAUAGUUUGUUGCAUUAGACCCGAAACCGAGUGAUCUAGCCAUGAGCAGGUUGAAGGUUGGGUAACACCAACUGGAGGACCGAACCCGCAUCUGUUGCAAUAGAUUGGGAUGACUUGUGGCUAGGGGUGAAAGGCCAAUCAAACUCGGAAAUAGCUGGUUCUCCGCGAAAUCUAUUUAGGUAGAGCGUCGAGCGAAUACCCCCGGGGGUAGAGCACUGGAUGGGCUAUGGGGACUCACCGUCUUACUGAUCCUAACCAAACUCCGAAUACCGGGGAGUACUACUCGGCAGACACACGGCGGGUGCUAACGUCCGUCGUGAAAAGGGCAACAACCCUAACCUCCAGCUAAGGUCCCCAAGUCAUGGCUAAGUGGGAAAGGAUGUGAGGAUCCCAAAACAACCAGGAUGUUGGCUUAGAAGCAGCCAUCAUUUAAAGAAAGCGUAACAGCUCACUGGUCUAAAUAAGGGUCUUUGCGCCGAAAAUGUAACGGGGCUGAAGCCAUGCACCGAAGCUGAGGAUUCCUCGCAAGAGGAGUGGUAGCGGAGCGUUCCGUAAGCUGAUGAAGGGAGACCCGUGAGGGCUCCUGGAGGUAUCGGAAGUGCGAAUGUUGACAUGAGUAACGAUAAAGAGGGUGAGAGACCCUCUCGCCGAAAGACCAAGGGUUCCUGCUUAAAGUUAAUCUGAGCAGGGUUAGCCGGCCCCUAAGACGAGGCGGACACGCGUAGUCGAUGGGAACCACGUUAAUAUUCGUGGGCCUGGUGGUAGUGACGGAUUGCACAAGUUGUUCUGGUUUAUUGGAUUAUCAGGGCAGCGGAGCGGUUCCAGGAAAUAGCUCCACCGUAUAGACCGUACCCGAAACCGACACAGGUGGUCAGGUAGAGUAUACCAAGGCGCUUGAGAGAACUAUGUUGAAGGAACUCGGCAAAUUGCACGCGUAACUUCGGAAGAAGCGUGACCCCAUUUUAGGCAACUAUGAUGGGGUGGCACAGACCAGGGGGUAGCGACUGUUUAUCAAAAACACAGGGCUCUGCGAAGUCGCAAGACGACGUAUAGGGUCUGACGCCUGCCCGGUGCUGGAAGGUUAAGAGGAGAGGUGCAAGCUUUGAAUCGAAGCCCCAGUAAACGGCGGCCGUAACUAUAACGGUCCUAAGGUAGCGAAAUUCCUUGUCGGGUAAGUUCCGACCUGCACGAAUGGCGUAACGACUUCCCCGCUGUCUCCAACAUAGACUCAGUGAAAUUGAAUUCCCCGUGAAGAUGCGGGGUUCCUGCGGUCAGACGGAAAGACCCCGUGCACCUUUACUAUAGCUUUACACUGGCAUUCGUGUCGGCAUGUGUAGGAUAGGUGGUAGGCUUUGAAGCGGGGACGCCAGUUUCCGUGGAGCCAUCCUUGAAAUACCACCCUUAUCGUCAUGGAUGUCUAACCGCGGCCCGUCAUCCGGGUCCGGGACAGUGUAUGGUGGGUAGUUUGACUGGGGCGGUCGCCUCCGAAAGAGUAACGGAGGCGCGCGAUGGUGGGCUCAGACCGGUCGGAAAUCGGUCGUCGAGUGCAAUGGCAUAAGCCCGCCUGACUGCGAGACUGACAAGUCGAGCAGAGACGAAAGUCGGUCAUAGUGAUCCGGUGGUCCCGCGUGGAAGGGCCAUCGCUCAACGGAUAAAAGGUACGCCGGGGAUAACAGGCUGAUGACCCCCAAGAGUCCAUAUCGACGGGGUUGUUUGGCACCUCGAUGUCGGCUCAUCGCAUCCUGGGGCUGGAGCAGGUCCCAAGGGUUUGGCUGUUCGCCAAUUAAAGCGGUACGUGAGCUGGGUUCAGAACGUCGUGAGACAGUUCGGUCCCUAUCUGCCGUGGGUGUAGGAAUAUUGACAGGAUCUGUCCCUAGUACGAGAGGACCGGGAUGGACAUAUCUCUGGUGGACCUGUUGUCCUGCCAAGGGCAUAGCAGGGUAGCUAUAUAUGGACGGGAUAACCGCUGAAGGCAUCUAAGCGGGAAACCCACCUGAAAACGAGUGUUCCCUAUCAGAGCCGUGGAAGACGACCACGUUGAUAGGCCGGGUGUGGAAGUGCGGCAACGCAUGAAGCUUACCGGUACUAAUAGCUCGAUCGGCUUGAUCGU